rnacentral:lncRNA from 1 species
AUGCCGAACAUCCCAGGGGACCUGGAGAGCCGGGAGGCCAUGGUGGCAUUUUUCAACUCCGCUGGAGCCAGUGCCCAGGAGGAACAAAGGGUGUGCUGCCAGCCCCUGGCUCACCCAGUGGCCUCGUCCCAGAAGAAGCCAGAGGUAGCGGCCCCAGCCCCAGAGAGUGGGGGUGAGUCUGUGUUUGGGGAGACCCACCGGGCCCUGCAGGGGGCCAUGGAGAAGCUGCAGCGACUUUAUGGAAGGAGAAGGUGGACCUGAAGGAGCGGGUAGAGAAACUAGAGCUUCAAUUCAUCCACCUCUCAGGACAGACAGACACCAUAGUGAGAAAGUACAUCAGCCAGGGGGCAGUGUCAGAGACGCAGCACUGGGAGAGGAGGACAUCGUCAGGCUGGCCCAGGACCAGGAGGAGAUGAAGGUGAACCUGCAGGAGCUGCGGGGCAGGUGUUGCAGCUUGUGGGCGACCACAAGGAGGGGCAUGGCAAAUUUUGACCAUUGCCCAGAACCCUGCUGAUGAGCCCACUCUAGGAGCCCCAGUAGCCCAGGAGCUUGGGUGUGCUGACGAGCAGGGUGAUCACCACUGGAUUGCUGACAGAUAGAGGAGGUGGGACCCUGACUAUCACCCCUAAUCUGCAGUGGAUUUGGCUCUCGGCACUCCCAGGCUGGGAGCUGGAUACCUGCCCUGGCAGCAUGGCUCAGACUGCAUGACAGAGAACGUGGCCAGUGGAGACGGCACACUG